rnacentral:misc_RNA from 1 species
AACGCACAUUGCGCCUAUUAGUAUUCUAGUAGGCAUGCCUGUUCGAGCGUCAUUUCAGACUCAGACUUCUGAAGCUGGAACAUGUGAUCUCACAGUUCCUAAAUACAAUAACGGAUAUAAUGAUAGCCGGGUGUAGUAAAUCUCGCCUAGGUUUUUCACUACGAUCCAGUAAUCCACAAAUGUUGACCUCGAAUCAGGUAGGAAUACCCGCUGAACUUAA